GACGAACGCUGGCGGCGUGCUUAACACAUGCAAGUCGAACGGUGAAGCUCCAGCCUGCUGGAGUGGAUCAGUGGCGAACGGGUGAGUAACACGUGAGCAACCUGCCCCUGACUCUGGAAUAAGCGCUGGAAACGGCGUCUAAUACUGGAUACGAGAAGGGUCCGCAUGGGCACUUUCUGGAAAGUUUUUCGGUUGGGGAUGGGCUCGCGGCCUAUCAGCUUGUUGGUGAGGUAAUGGCUCACCAAGGCGACGACGGGUAGCCGGCCUGAGAGGGCGACCGGCCACACUGGGACUGAGACACGGCCCAGACUCCUACGGGAGGCAGCAGUGGGGAAUAUUGCACAAUGGGCGAAAGCCUGAUGCAGCGACGCCGCGUGAGGGAUGACGGCCUUCGGGUUGUAAACCUCUUUCAGCAGGGAAGAAGCGAAAGUGACGGUACCUGCAGAAGAAGCACCGGCUAACUACGUG
rnacentral:rRNA from 1 species